CCUGGCGGCACUAGCGCGGUGGUCCCACCUGACCCCAUGCCGAACUCAGAAGUGAAACGCCGUAGCGCCGAUGGUAGUGUGGGGUCUCCCCAUGUGAGAGUAGGGAACGGCUCUUA
rnacentral:rRNA from 1 species